GACGAACGCUGGCGGCGUGCCUAACACAUGCAAGUCGAGCGAUGAAACCCUUCGGGGUGGAUUAGCGGCGGACGGGUGAGUAACACGUGGGUAACCUGGCUCAACGAGGGGGAUAGCCUCCCGAAAGGGAGAUUAAUACCGCAUAACAUGAGUUUUUCGCAUGAAGAACGAAUUAAAGGAGUAAUCCGCUUUGAGAUGGACCCGCGGCGCAUUAGCUAGUUGGUGAGGUAAAGGCUCACCAAGGCGACGAUGCGUAGCCGACCUGAGAGGGUGAUCGGCCACAUUGGAACUGAGACACGGUCCAGACUCCUACGGGAGGCAGCAGUGGGGAAUAUUGCACAAUGGGCGAAAGCCUGAUGCAGCAACGCCGCGUGAGUGAUGAAGGCCUUCGGGUUGCAAAGCUCCGUCUUUUGGGACGAUAAUGACGGUACCAAAGGAGGAAGCCACGGCUAACUACGUGCCAGCCGCCGCGGUAA
rnacentral:rRNA from 1 species